UACGGGGGGAGCAAGCGUUGUUCGGAUUUACUGGGCGUAAAGAGCGCGCAGGCGGUCGUUCAAGUCGAGUGCUGAAAGCCCCCGGCUCAACCUGGGGAGGGUCACGGCGAUACUGAUCGACUCGAAGGCAGGAGAGGGUAGUGGAAUUCCCGGUGUAGUGGUGAAAUGCGUAGAUAUCUGGAGGAACACCGGUGGCGAAGGCGGCAUCCUGGACCGGCAUUGACGCGUGAGGCGGCGAAAAGCUAGGGGAGCAAACGGGG
rnacentral:rRNA from 1 species